AUAGACAUUGUCUCAGUUUGCUUGGGGUGCUAUAACAAAAUACCACAGACUGGGUGGCUUAAACAACAGACAUUUAUUUCUCACAGUUCUGGAGGCUAAAAGUCUAAAGUCAAGGUGCCAGCAGAUUUGGUUCUUGGUAAUAGUUCUCUUUGGCUUGGACACAGCUGCCUUCUUGCUGUAUCCUCACACACAGUGGAGGAAGGAAGCUCUAGUGUCUCUUCCUCUUGUUGUUGGGAACCAAUCCCAUCAUGAGGGUCCCACCGUCAUGACCUCAUCUAAACCUAAUGCGCUCCCAGAGGCCCCAACUCCUAAUGCCAUGUGAUAUGGUUUGGCUGUGUUCCCACCCAAAUCUCAUCUUGAAUUGUGGCUCCCAAAAUUUCCAUGUGUCCUAUGAGAGACCCAGUGGGAGGUAACUCAACUGGAGAAAAGAUACUCUUUUCAACAAAUGGUGCUAGAAAAACUGGAUAUCCAUAUAUAAAAAAAUGAAUUGUGAAUUUGCCUCACACCACACACAAAAUGGAUCAUAGACCUAAAUAUAAGAGCUAAGAUUAUACAACUUCUAUAAGGAAACAGGUCUAUGUUUUUAUAAGAAAACACUGGAUAAAGGCUUAGUGACUUGAGUUUUGCAAAGAUUUCUUAACUAUGACACAAAAAGCACAAACUAUAAAAUUUAAAAGUCCAUACCUUAGACUCCAUCAACAUAACACAACUUCUGCUCUUUAAAAUGCAGUGUUAUGCAAAUGGAAAGGCAAGCCAGAGUUUGGAAGAAAAAUAUUGCAAAAUACAUAUCUGACAAAGGACUUGUGUCUAGAACUCUUAGAACUUAAGAAGAAGACAAACAACCUCAUUUAAAAACGGGCAAAAGACUUGAACAGAUACUUCCUCAAAGAAGACAUAUGAAUGGCCAAAGGACACAUGAAAAGAUGCUCAACAUCAUUAGUUAUCAGGGAAAUGCAAAUCAAAACCACAAUGAAAUACCACCCCACACCCACUGGGAUGGCUAUAAUGAAAAGACAGACAAUAACAAGUGUUAGUGUAUUAGUCUGUUCUUGCAUUACUAUGAAGAAAUACCUGAGAUUGG
rnacentral:lncRNA from 10 species